AAAAACGCCCCUACAUUGAAAGAACGGCGGCAUGAUGAAAAAACACGUUAUAUCUUUCCAUUCCGUUGAUUGGUUGACAUGAGAUGAUAUUGGAUUUGUGCUCAUUUAUUAAUUAACAGGUGACACCAGCGCGCCUACCUUUAUAAAUCAAUCCCCUACUGUCUCGUUAAAAGGAAUCAGUUCUGGCUGUUGAUUCCAAGGAGGACUAGGUCACAGUUGAGCAGCAGGUGACCAAUGUUUAUAACUGCUUCAUUUAUGGAAUGCUUUGGGGAAAAAACCUUCCUCAUCCUUUGAGUUUGUCAAGCAAUUUGGUUUAUGCAAGUUAAUUUUUUAUCUACCUUUACCCCUUAUUUCUCUGCCAUUUUAAAACCUACUAUGUAAAGGCAGUAUAUGUAACCUGGAAUUGGCAUGUGUUUUAAACGGAGCCGAUGUGAAUAUGACGACGAAGAGCCGACUAGACCAUUUGAGAUGCUACCCCGUGUGGUUCAUACUAGGCCUACACCCUUUGAGUAAAAGGGUCCUUUUUUUUUUCUUCAGACCGAUUCCUCAAAAGGGGUCGUGGGCUGGUUGGUAAUCAUCUUGUCCUGCUGCUGUGGAGAGUCCCGGUCUUUAUCAGCAACAACAUAGUGACGGCUCAGAUCUUCUGGGAGAGGCUGUGGAUGAUACUGUGAUGUGCAGAGUACUGGACAGAUGCAAGGAACAAGCACAUUUUCUAAAGACUAUUUCUGACUGGUGUUUCAUUGACUUUUAAAGAUG
ensembl:lncRNA